rnacentral:rRNA from 1 species
UACGAAGGGUGCAAGCGUUAAUCGGAAUUACUGGGCGUAAAGCGUGCGUAGGCGGUUCGCUGAGUCUGCCGUGAAAGCCCUGGGCUCAACCUGGGAAUGGCGGUGGAUACUGGCGAGCUGGAGUGCGGUAGAGGAGGGUGGAAUUCCCGGUGUAGCGGUGAAAUGCGUAGAGAUCGGGAGGAACAUCAGUGGCGAAGGCGGCCCUCUGGACCAGCACUGACGCUGAGGCACGAAAGCGUGGGGAGCAAACAGG